rnacentral:rRNA from 1 species
GAUGAACGCUAGCUACAGGCUUAACACAUGCAAGUCGCGGGGCAGCAUGGGGGUUGCUUGCAAUCACCGAUGGCGACCGGCGCACGGGUGAGUAACGCGUAUCCAACCUGCCCUUCACCACGGGAUAACCCGGCGAAAGUCGGACUAAUACCGUAUGUUGUCCAUUGACGGCAUCCGAUUUGGACGAAAGGUUUGGCGGUGAAGGAUGGGGAUGCGUCCGAUUAGCUGGACGGCGGGGUGACGGCCCACCGUGGCGACGAUCGGUAGGGGUUCUGAGAGGAAGGUCCCCCACACUGGAACUGAGACACGGUCCAGACUCCUACGGGAGGCAGCAGUGAGGAAUAUUGGUCAAUGGGCGUAAGCCUGAACCAGCCAAGUAGCGUGCAGGAUGACGGCCCUAUGGGCUGUAAACUGCUUUUAUGCGGGGAUAAAGUGGCCCACGUGUGGGUUUUUGCAGGUACCGCAUGAAUAAGGACCGGCUAAUUCCGUG